UGGGGAAUAUUGGACAAUGGGCGCAAGCCUGAUCCAGCCAUGCCGCGUGUGUGAAGAAGGCCUUCGGGUUGUAAAGCACUUUUGUCCGGGAAGCGGUACCGGAAGAAUAAGCACCGGCUAACUUCGUGCCAGCAGCCGCGGUAAUACGAAGGGUGCAAGCGUUACUCGGAAUUACUGGGCGUAAAGCGUGCGUAGGCGGUUUGUUAAGUCAGAUGUAAAGCCCCGGGCUCAACCUGGGAACUGCAUUUGAUACUGGCGAGCUAGAGUACGGUAGAGGGUGGUGGAAUUCCCGGUGUAGCGGUGAAAUGCGUAGAGAUCGGGAGGAACAUCUGUGGCGAAGGCGGCCACCUGGACCAGUACUGACGCUGAGGCACGAAAGCGUGGGGAGCAAACAGGAUUAGAUACCCCAGUAGU
rnacentral:rRNA from 1 species